rnacentral:pre_miRNA from 1 species
UGGCUUUGUUCCAAGUCAAACUUCUCUAACUUUGAUCAGGUUUUUUUAGAAAAAAUAUUAGCAUCUCAAGUUCAAAUAAAUGCACUUUCAAAAUAUAUUUCAUGUAGAAUUAAUGAAACAAAUUUGAAGUUAUAGAUGUUGAUGCACUUAUCCGUAGACUUGGUCAAAGUAAAAAAAGUUUGACUUAGGAGAAAGUCAA